rnacentral:rRNA from 1 species
ACACGACUACAUUAGAUACCCGCGUAGUCCUAGCCGUAAACGAUACUCGCUAGGUGUCGGCCACGGUGCGACCGUUGUCGGUGCCGUAGGGAAGCCGUGAAGCGAGCCACCUGGGAAGUACGGCCGCAAGGCUGAAACUUAAAGGAAUUGGCGGGGAGCACCACAACGGGUGGAGCCUGCGGUUUAAUCGGACUCAACGCCGGGAAUCUCACCGGAUAAGACAGCUGAAUGAUUGCCGGGCUGAAGACCCUGCAUGACCAGCUG